UAUACCAAAUAUCAUUUUUCAUUUAACUUAUAAACGAUUUACGAACAUUGCGUCGCGACUAGCAUCGCGUUGUAUCUUGUACGACCAUGUAUAGUAUUCGUUUUCAUUGGAAUUGAGAAGCAUCCCCGAAUUUGGGAUUUUGAAUCAUUCUGCACCGAUGCGAAUUAAUUGUGGUUACCUUGUCGCAACGUGGUCAUGGCCCCGACUGCUUGAAACAUAGUGGUCAGGAUCGUCCCCCCCCUUUACUUUUACUUUUACACCUAUGACAACCUCUUUGAUUCUACGCGUUCGUCAAUUUCGGGACCGGCCACGGUAUUUUCUUCUAUUUAUUUUUUUAUCAAUCCAUUCUCAUUUCCUCCGUAUAAAUUAUUUUUAUUAAAAUUAAGAUUUUUUUUUUACUUAAAAUGUUAUUUUUUCUACCGAUUAGUAAUCGUCGAUCGGUAUUCCGAAGACACUACGUAUUUGCAUUAACAUUCUUGACAAAGGUUUGCUCGAUGUUGUAUGUUUAACGGUAACGUUGACGUAUAUAUUAAGAUAACGCUUAAAAAAAUGGACAAAAUAUAAAUGUUGGGCGUACAGUUUCGAUACUUUCUAAUUUUCAUUUACAAUUAUUUCAUCGUUUAUUAUGCAACGAGUAUCUCGAAAUUGAGCAACAUGAAAUUCGUAAUCCGAAAAUGGGAAUAACGAUUGCAGUAUCGAUCCUGACGAAUAGAUAAAUCGAUCGGGAAAAAGAAAGAGAUACGCGCGUGCCGUUCUGACGAUCGAUAAAAACGGAAGGAAUCGUUUUCUUAGAAGAGGACACUUCUCCGAAUGAAAGACAUAAAACGUGACAAAGUUUGACAGGUGUCUGUAAAACAGUUUCGAUAAAUGUACGAAGAGAUGAAAUAAUUCGUUAUUCGUACAAACGUGUGACCGAUAAGAUUCUCUUUCUUUCUCACCUUUUAUUUUCAUUUGAGCAACAGGUUGACCUAAGAAUGGGUGAUCCUUAGCUUUAUUGGCAUCCCGAUCGCGGUACACGCGACACACGCACACUUUUUUCGUCGAGCACCGAUUCGCGGAAACUGCGUUUCAGGAGCGCGCGACAGACCGCCACGAUGCUACAGAAUGAUCUAACGCGCAUGCGCACUCCCCCUCCGCUGGAUCCAACAUCUCUCAUUCUUUAUUAUACCCUAGCAAACAAGGUCUUCCUGCCUACAAUGAAAUAUAGGUUCAGAUGUUAAAAGUUCUGCAAAUAUACAACCAAUUGCCCAUAUAUCUGUAAAACAACAACGAAUCUCGUAAAAUCAAAGUUUCUAAAGUAUCAUAAAUAUGUAAAAUUAAUUAUGAACAGCAGUAUCUAUAUACACAUAUAAAGAUAUAUGUAAAAAUAAUUACCAAAUCUCUAUGGAGCACCCAGUUGGAAUGUAAAUAGUGAAUACCAUCCAGGAUUUGAUACAACAAAGAUUUGACCAUACCCUUUGGUACCAUAACAGGUUUCUUAUUAGCCUUUGCUGCUCUAUGAAACUUGAUUAUAUGCUACAAGUAAAAAUAAAAAGCUGUUAACUAUUUGCAUGAUUUCACAGAUAUAUUUUCAACCAUUAUAAACAUACCCACAAAUCAUGUUCUGCAAAAUCAAAUAGUAACCAUACUUUGCGGUCAUUAUGCGAUAGAAAAACCCUUAUUAAUGUAAUUACAUUCACAUGUUUUAAUUCCCUAAGUAGCUAUGAAAGCAAGAAAUAAUUAAUACUGAACAUAUAAUGCAUUAAACACAAAAAAAUAAAUACUCACUGCAAUCUCACGACAUGCAGACAUAGAAAGGCCUGUUCCUUCAAUUUGUUUAAGACCAAAAUCCUUUGUAUCUGGCCGAGAUUUUAAUUCACUAUCUGGUACACUAUUUAAAUUUUAUCAAUAUGUAUAUGUACUUGAUUAUAAUAACAGAAGAUGAAGGCAAUACGAUAGAUGAAUGGCAUUGUAUAAAUGAAAUGGUCCAUGUAGUACAAUUAUUGUUACAUAGUUGAAGGAUGUAAUAAAAUAUUUCUCAAA